AUGAGCGGAGCCGCCGGCGAGCUCACCGCGCCGCCCCGUCGCCGGCGAUCCGGCCGAGCAGCGCAGAGAGAGGAGACGGCGCCGCUGCUGGAUCCCGCCGCCGAGGCUCCCCAGGGCCGAGGCAGUGCAGAGAGAGGAGGGCUGUUGGACCCCGCUGAGGUUCCCCAACUCCAGUGGGCCGACCCCAUUUCCAGCUCGCCGCGUGUGUACGGUAGGAAGCAGUGGCGUGCCGUGUGCAAGGUGCUCGGCAACGACAAUCUCCUCGCUGAGAUCCUCGUCCGCCUCCCUCCCAAGCCGUCCUCGCUCCCCCGCGCGUCCGCCGUGUGCAAGCGCUGGCGCGGCAUCCUCUCCGACCCCGAGUUCCUCAAACGCUUCCGCAAGCACCACCGCAAGCCUCCUCUGCUCGGCUUCUUUGAAGGGUAUGCCAACCGCUUUGCUCCCGUCAUGGACUCGCCCGACCGUAUCACUGCCUCCUGCUUCUCCAUGCCCAAGAGCAGCACGCGCUACAACGACCAUCGAGAAUACAUGGGCUGCCGCCACGGCCUUGCUGUUCUGGUCAACAAGCAGGAGCGCAAGACCUUCGUGUGGGACCCCCUCACUGGCCGACAGCACAGCGUGGAUUUUCCGCCCGGGCUAGAUGACGCCUUUGCGGGGAAUUUCUGUAUGUGGCGCGGCGCGGUGUUGUGUGCUGAUGCUGAAGAUGGGCAUGUGCACGGAGAUUGCUUCUCGAGUCCGUUUAAAUUGGUCUUGCUCUGCUGCGGUGGAUACAAUACACAGGCAUUUUGCUCUGUCUAUGACUCGGUGUCUGGUGUUUGGGGAGGUGUUUUCUCGACCGCAAUAUCGCGUACAAUUUCUCUGUUAAGGCCCAGUAUCCUGGUCGGUGACGCACUUUGCUGGCUGAUUUCUGGAGGUGAUAUCCUUGUGUUUGAUUUCAAAUGUCAGAGCCUUGAUGUGAUCGAGAAGCCGGCAUUCUGCUAUGUUACCGACGGGUGUUUUCAGAUCUUACGGAUGGAGGGUGGUGGACUUGGCCUUGCUGUUUUGUUGGACCUGACCAUCCAAUUGUGGGAGAGGAAAUCUAACUCUGAUGGUGUCGUCGGAUGGGUGUUGCUGAAGAAAACCAUUCCACUGGAGGGGAUGGUUCCAAGGGGAAUGAAUUCUGUACGUUUCGUCGGGUAUGAUGAGGACACAAAUGUGAUUGUUCUCACUUCGAUGACCGGCAACUUCACACUCCAACUUGACUCGAUGCAGAUCAAACAUAUUGUCAAAAGAAACAACAUAUGUUACGACCCGUUUUAUCCCUACACGAAUUUCUAUACUGCAGCAAGGCAGGGCAGUCGGUCGGGAAGGGGUGAAUCUGGAACUAAUUGUGAUCGGACCAGAUCUGCUAACAUACUACCUUGGUCAAACAAUUUAGCAGGUAGUGGGAGUUAA
rnacentral:rRNA from 1 species